rnacentral:lncRNA from 1 species
CCGGUAUGAAAUGGGGCCUGGAAUGGCAUGGAACGGUAUGGGGCCUUUGGAUGAGGUUGGUCCAGAGAGAUGGCUUUUUUUCUGCCCGAGCGUCAGCUGCAAUCCAAUUUCUAGCUUGAACAAUGUGAGAGAGUAUGUGUGUCUGUGCGAGUGCUUUAUUAUUUUACCAGCACAUGGCUACACACACACACUCUCGCUCGAAGAGACUUCCCU